GGCUGGGCUGUUAAUGUGCAGAGGUUCUAGCUCUCAAUGUAAGUACAGUGUUCCAUACACAGGUAAGUAUUCACAGGGCUGGGCUGUUAGCGUGCAGGGGUUCUAGCUCUCAGGUAAGUACAGUGUUCGAUACACAGGUAAGUAUUCACAGGGCUGAGCUGUUAGCGUGCAGGGGUUCUAGCUCUCAAUGUAAGUACAGUGUUCCAUACACAGGUAAGUAUUCACAGGGCUGAGCUGUUAGCGUGCAGGGGUUCUAGCUCUCAAUGUAAGUACAGUGUUCCAUACACAGGUAAGUAUUCACAGGGCUGAGCUGUUAGCGUGCAGGGGUUCUAGCUCUCAAUGUAAGUACAGUGUUCCAUACACAGGUAAGUAUUCACAGGGCUGAGCUGUUAGCGUGCAGGGGUUCUAGCUCUCAAUGUAAGUACA